UACGUAGGGACCAAGCGUUGUUCGGAUUUACUGGGCGUAAAGGGCGCGUAGGCGGCGUGGUAAGUCACUUGUGAAAUCUCUGAGCUUAACUCAGAACGGUCAAGUGAUACUGCUGUGCUAGAGUGCAGAAGGGGCAAUCGGAAUUCUUGGUGUAGCGGUGAAAUGCGUAGAUAUCAAGAGGAACACCUGAGGUGAAGACGGGUUGCUGGGCCGACACUGACGCUGAUGCGCGAAAGCCAGGGGAGCAAACGGG
rnacentral:rRNA from 1 species